AUUGAACGCUGGCGGAAUGCUUUACACAUGCAAGUCGAACGGCAGCACGGGGCAACCUGGUGGCGAGUGGCGAACGGGUGAGUAAUAUAUCGGAACGUGCCCAAUCGUGGGGGAUAACGUAGCGAAAGUUACGCUAAUACCGCAUACGAUCUACGGAUGAAAGCGGGGGAUCGCAAGACCUCGCGCGAAUGGAGCGGCCGAUAUCAGAUUAGGUAGUUGGUGGGGUAAAGGCUCACCAAGCCAACGAUCUGUAGCUGGUCUGAGAGGACGACCAGCCACACUGGAACUGAGACACGGUCCAGACUCCUACGGGAGGCAGCAGUGGGGAAUUUUGGACAAUGGGCGCAAGCCUGAUCCAGCCAUUCCGCGUGCAGGAUGAAGGCCUUCGGGUUGUAAACUGCUUUGUACGGUAACGAAACGGUCUGCCUAAUACGGCAGGCUAAUGACGGUACCGUAAGAAUAAGACACCGGCUAACUACGUGCCAGCAGCCGCGUAAU
rnacentral:rRNA from 1 species